UCUGGAAAUUUCCAGAGAGAGAGAGAAAGGGAGUUCUUGAGAAAAAUCCCAAAUCCGACCAAAAUUCAAGUCCCAAAAUCCGAAGCUCAUGAAGAGAAAAUUGUUGUACGUCGCGUUGGCUUCAAUUUGAGCUAGAAAUCAACCAAUAAGGAGAAGAUUUUAUGUGGUGCUGCAAAUUUAAGGUUGAGACAAUAUUGGACAACAUAUACGUAUAAACGCUAAAGGUACAAAUACUCAUUUUGGAGAGCCGCCAACUUAGGAUUCUACUCAACGAGUUUGAAGUGCUCUAUUGUCUCGGAGCCCAAACUUUGGGUACUAAUCCUUAUAAUGUAUAUAUUUGUGUAUUUAGGGGUACGACGGGGCCCUGUCCCGUCAUAUGCUAUUGUUAAUUCUCUUAGAGGUCUGUAGACAUAUGAGUGGGUUGUAUAUAGAUGUUGUCCGGUGUACUAGUAUGACUUAUGUUUUUGGACGUUUACAUUCAGAAUGGAAGCCUUGUCGGCUUACAUAUUAUGUUAUCUUAUUUUUGACAAUUAAGACUCCCCAAGAAAUAGCUGAUUUUGGUAUAUAUAUAAGUGACCG